AAAGGAAUUGACGGGGACCCGCACAAGCGGUGGAGUAUGUGGUUUAAUUCGAAGCAACGCGAAGAACCUUACCAAGUCUUGACAUACCUCGCAAGGCCCUAGAGAUAGGGAGAUAGUUAUGGAGGAUACAGGUGGUGCAUGGUUGUCGUCAGCUCGUGUCGUGAGAUGUUGGGUUAAGUCCCGCAACGAGCGCAACCCCUGUCUUUAGUUGCCAUCAUUCAGUUGGGGACUCUAGAGAGACUGCCGGUGAUAAACCGGAGGAAGGUGGGGAUGACGUCAAAUCAUCAUGCCCCUUAUGACUUGGGCAACACACGUACUACAAUGGCAAUUACAAAGGGAAGCGAAAGAGUGAUCUGGAGCGAAACUCAUAAAGGUUGUCUCAGUUCGGAUUGAAGUCUGCAACUCGACUUCAUGAAGUUGGAAUCGCUAGUAAUCGCGGAUCAGCAUGCCGCGGUGAAUACGUUCUCGGGUCUUGUACACACCGCCCGU
rnacentral:rRNA from 1 species